GACUCACCAAUCCUUUAUCUUUUGUUUGAUUGCCAACUAGUUUAGAUUCCCUUUGGGUUUGUCUUCUUGCCUUAGUUAUUUCGUUUAUCAAUCACUCUUGCAUCUCCCUUAGGAUUUAGCUUGUAGCUAUUAAUUACUUUAGAAAUUAUUUAUCGCUAAUUUUAGGUUAAUAUAACAAAGAACAAAGGAGUAACUCUAGGCUUUCACUUUC
rnacentral:lncRNA from 1 species